rnacentral:misc_RNA from 1 species
UUGAUCUUGAUAUUGUAGUUAAGGCAGAAACAGAAGUUAAUUCACUUAUCGUCAAAGGCCGUAGAGUAACGACACACACAUUUUCCUCGCUUGAGGAAGCAAAGCGUGAGAUUCCUAACUUGCGUGCAAACGAGGAGAGAAUAUCAGCGGCCACCCCUUCUGAGGUCAAAGUUGUAGAGAUCGAAAAUCACGACAUAUCGGCUUGCGCAAUGGCACAUGCCAACAAUCUGCAAGAAUGCGAUUUUUUUCUAGUCACGC